rnacentral:rRNA from 1 species
CCUACGGGUGGCAGCAGUGGGGAAUAUUGGGCAAUGGAGGAAACUCUGACCCAGCAACGCCGCGUGAAGGAUGAAGGUCUUCGGUAUGUAAAGCUCUAUUAGUAGGGAAGAAAAUGACGGUACCUGAGUAAGAAGCUCCGGCCAAAUACGUGCCAGCAGCCGCGGUAAUACGUAUGGAGCAAGCGUUAUCCGGAUUUACUGGGCGUAAAGGGAGCGUAGGCGGUCUGCCAAGUCUGAUGUGAAAUACCGGGGCUUAACCGCGGGGGUGCAUUGGAAACUGGCAGGCUGGAGUGCCGGAGAGGCAGGCGGAAGUCCUAGUGUAGCGGUGAAAUGCGUAGAUAUUAGGAGGAACACCAGUGGCGAAGGCGGCCUGCUGGACGGUGACUGACGCUGAGGCUCGAAAGCGUGGGGAGCAAACAGGAUUAGAUACCCCUGUAGUC